UACGUAGGUGGCAAGCGUUGUCCGGAUUUAUUGGGUUUAAAGGGUGCGUAGGCGGCCCUGUAAGUCAGUGCUGAAAUAUCCCAGCUUAACUGGGAGGGUGGCAUUGAUACUGCGGGGCUAGAGUACAGAUGAGGUAGGCGGAAUUGACGGUGUAGCGGUGAAAUGCUUAGAUAUCAGGAAGAACACCCGUGGCUAAGGCGGCUCUCUAGUACGGUACUGACGCUGAGACGCGAAAGCGUGGGGAGCGAACAGG
rnacentral:rRNA from 1 species